GUUAACUUGUGACCAGCUCGCGUACCGGUAACUUAACGAAUGCUGGGGCGGUCUCGCAACACAGAUACUGAGAUAUUUCUUCUAUGGAAUGGCUGUCCAAAGGUCGCCCCCUGUACUUUGAACUGGAUUUUUGUACUGCUUAAUUGACGUCAUCCUUUCGCUAGAAAAUCCUCACCCAUCAAGGUCCAUGCAAAAAAGUUUUAGUUUGACGUUGUUGCUGACAAUUACUGCAAACUUUCCAUCAAUGAUGUCUUACUUAAGAAUUAUAAAAUACGAAAUGAUGAUUUAUUAAUUGUGUAGUUUCGCAGUUUUCGGAAAAAUUUGCAUCCGCUUUUCAUAAAUUAUCAUAACUUUAGUGUUAGUUGAUAUAAUACCGAGAAUUAUGUAACAAGUUUUUAAUUUGGAAGACUAACACGACAAGUUCUUGGAAGAAGUUGCAACCAAUCCAGUUUAAAAACCAUUACGUAUUAACCUGCUGGGAUUUUUAUGAUCAGCAUUGUAAAUUGCAUAACAUUACCCGCAUAGCAACUUAUCACUGACUGCACCCGUGAUUUUCCGCCCCUCUUUUUGAACUCGAGGGACUUUCCAUGCUCUCACAAGCACGCCAACGUCGCUUCAGUUCAAUUUAUUCGGAUUUCUCACAGGAGUCAAAGCUCUAGGCUAAUGACAAUAAUAAUCUGCAACGCCAAUUGUCUCUGGUGCACUCUUCUUUGACAAUGAGCACUGUUUAAGUUGGAUAUUAACAUGUCACAAUUUAGGACAAUGACUUCGGAUUAACUUGUUUAUUACAUAUUUAAGAGAUAAUUGUGUUUUUGUCAUUCAACAAACAAUGUUAAGGUGCCACCACACUACAUUACACUCUGUUGUCAUUGCCAUUAAUUAUAUUACAUGCAGACUCGCCUAAAAAUGUGUUCUUUAAUUAGCCAUCACGAAUGAAAACUGACAUGCAACCGGGGGUGUUUCGGCUCCUUUUAGCUAUAAUUGCGUGAACCUUUUAGUAUUGAUAAGAAUACAUCAUCCACCCAAAAGGUCGAGGUCGUUACGCCAAAACAAAGGUCAUUGCUGAACUUCCUCUACCAUAUAGGUUGAGCCACAUAUAGACAAGGCAAUGUCGUUAAUGGGUGACUAUUAUUUUGAAACUAAUUAAUAUUUUUUUUACAGGCUUGCUAUUACACAGCAGGUAAGCACCUUCGUUCCACAUAACUCUCAUGUAUAACGACAGAAAAUUCAUAAACAAAUCACUUUAAAGUAACCUCCUGACGAA